CUGUGUUCUUCUGUAGAAUGUGGCCUGUUUAACAGCUGAUAAUCUCGUGCAGACAGGAGGCUCUACCACAGUUCCAGCAGUUCCCUGUGUCUCAUCACUGCCUCCCAUGACUUCAGUACUCAACUCAUCUGUAUCCAAUACUCUGUCGGCUGUGGACAGUACGCCAACAUCAAUGGAGGUCACCCUCCCCUCAUCAUCAACGCCGAACAAAAGCAAACCAGAUGUGACAUGACCUCUACUUUUAUUGUACCAUUGA